rnacentral:rRNA from 1 species
AAUUGCAAGUCGAGCGGUAACAGGAUUAGCUUGCUAAUUUGCUGACGAGCGGCGGACGGGUGAGUAACGCGUAGGAAUCUGCCUGGUAGUGGGGGACAACAUGUGGAAACGCAUGCUAAUACCGCAUACGCCCUACGGGGGAAAGGAGGGGAUCUUCGGACCUUUCGCUAUCAGAUGAGCCUGCGUGAGAUUAGCUAGUUGGUGGGGUAAAGGCUCACCAAGGCGACGAUCUCUAGCUGGUCUGAGAGGAUGAUCAGCCACACUGGGACUGAGACACGGCCCAGACUCCUACGGGAGGCAGCAGUGGGGAAUAUUGGACAAUGGGCGCAAGCCUGAUCCAGCCAUGCCGCGUGUGUGAAGAAGGCCUUCGGGUUGUAAAGCACUUUCAGAGGUGAGGAAGGGUGUGUAGUUAAUACCUACAUAUCUUGACGUUAGCCUCAGAAGAAGCACCGGCAAACUCUGUGCCAGCAGCCGCGGUAAUACAGAGGGUGCGAGCGUUAAUCGGAAUUACUGGGCGUAAAGCGCGCGUAGGUGGUUUGUUAAGUCGGAUGUGAAAGACCCGGGGCUCAACCUUGGGAUUGCACCGGUUCCUGGGCAGCUCCACUACGGAGCACGGGUGUGGAUUUUCCGGU